ACAUCUUAGAUGGCUCUAUCUUGUUUUCGCUUUUUAUGGCGUUUGUCUUUCUUGUUCUUUUUUCUUGGGCUUUUGCUGUUGGUGGUAUUGCAUGGAAAAAUGGAAGAAACCAACGAGGCCCUGUUCCCAUUCCUGGGCCUAGAGGUUUACCCAUCCUUGGUAGCCUCUUAACUUUGAGCCGUGGCUUGGCUCAUCGUUCUUUGGCUACCAUGGCGUGGAAGCGGGCUAACACUUCACUCAUGGCUUUUAGCCUUGGCUCCACUCCUGUUGUUGUUGCUUCUGACCCUCACACCGCCAGAGAAAUUUUAACUUCUAUCCACUUCGCUGACCGUCCGAUCAAACAGUCAGCUAAGAGUCUCAUGUUUAGUCGAGCUAUCGGUUUCGCUCCGAACGGCACCUACUGGAGGCUGUUGAGAAAAAUUGCUUCCUCACGUCUGUUUGCUCCACGGUCCAUAGCCGCCCAUAAAACUCUCCGUCAACUAGAAUGUGAAACUAUGCUACGCAACAUAGCCAUGGAGCAAAAACAAAAGGGUUGCGUCUCUUUAAGGAAACACCUUCAGUUUGCAUCUUUAAAUAACAUCAUGGGCAGUGUGUUUGGCAAGAGAUACGAUCCUGCGCGCGAUGCAGAGGAGCUUGAGGAGCUUAGAGACAUGGUUAAUGAAGGUUUUGACCUUUUGAGUGCAUUUAACUGGUGUGAUUAUUUACCAUGGCUGAAUUACUUCUAUGACCCAUUUCGUAUACAUGAACGUUGCUUGAAACUUGUUCCUCGAGUUAGGAAACUCGUUGCAGGCAUUAUUGAAGACCACCGACUCAAUAAAUCAAGAAGGAAGUGUGAUAGUUGUGAUUUUGUUGACGUUUUGCUCUCUUUGGAUGGUGAAGAGAAACUUGAAGAGGAUGACAUGGUUGCUGUGUUGUGGGAAAUGAUUUUUAGAGGGACUGAUACAACAGCUUUACUAACCGAGUGGAUCAUGGCCGAGUUGGUGUUGCACCCGGAGAUUCAAGAAAAGCUUCAGAGGGAACUAGACGGAGCUGCGAAAGAUGGGAACUUGACAGACUCUGAGGUGGCAAAUUUACCUUAUUUAAAAGCAGUGGUGAAAGAAACUCUAAGGGUCCACCCACCAGGCCCACUCCUUUCGUGGGCCAGGCUGUCCACGGCAGACGUCCAACUCAACAAUGGAAUGAUAAUACCCUGCAAUACAACUGCAAUGGUCAACAUGUGGGCAAUAACCCAUGACCCUGGCGUCUGGGUGGAUCCACUGGUAUUCAAGCCAGAGAGAUUCUUAAAUGGUGAUGUGGACGUGAAGGAUGGUGAUCUGAGGCUUGCACCCUUUGGGGCAGGGCGUAGGAUUUGCCCUGGG
rnacentral:misc_RNA from 1 species